CUCCACAAGCCUCCAAAACCCUUAUUUCCUACUGAAUGACUCCAUAUAACUAUGGAAAACCUUCUGCUAGAACUAGUAAUAAGAAGAAGACCUUCUCCCUAAAUGUGAAUAUAAACCGGAACGAACAACUCACCGGAACCUACCGCUAAUGAAAAAAUUAUAACAACUUCACAAGAAAAAACUAUUCCACUAAGCGUUAACCUUACACAAGAACAUUUCAGGAAAGAUUAACAAAACGGGAAGGAACUCGGCAAACAACUAACCCCGCCUGUUUACCAAAAACAUCGCCUUGUGAUUAAAUAUACAAGGUCUCGCCUGCCCAGUGAUUCAUUUCAACGGCCGCGGUACCCUAACCGUGCAAAGGUAGCCACAAUCACUUGUUCCUUAAAUAGCGACUAGUAUGAAGGCCAUCACGAGGGUUAUUCUGUCUCCCCCUUUUAAUCCAUGAAACUGAUCUCCCCGUGAAGAAGCGAGGAUAUUAAUAUAAGACGAGAAGACCCCAUGGAGCUUUAAACUCAGAAACACCUGCUAUUUUUUAACCAAAUUAACCAAGCUUCCCUGAUUUCUAGUUUUCGGUUGGGGUGACCACGGAGCACAACACAACCUCCUUGAUGAACGGAACUAGUUUCCUUAUUUAAGAACUACAGCUCUAAAAAUCAACACAUUGACAAAAAUUGAUCCAAAUAAUUUGAUCAACGAACCAAGUUACCCUGGGGAUAACAGCGCAAUCCAUUUCAAGAGCCCAUAUCGACAAAUGGGUUUACCACCUCCAUGUUGGAUCAGGGUAUCCCAGUGGUGCAACCGCUACUAAAGGUUC
rnacentral:rRNA from 1 species